rnacentral:misc_RNA from 1 species
GAUGAAGAACGUAGCGAAAUGCGAUAAGUAAUGUGAAUUGCAGAAUUCAGUGAAUCAUCGAAUCUUUGAACGCACAUUGCGCCCCCUGGUAUUCCGGGGGGCAUGCCUGUUCGAGCGUCAUUUCACCACUCAAGCCUCGCUUGGUAUUGGGCAACGCGGUCCGCCGCGUGCCUCAAAUCGACCGGCUGGGUCUUCUGUCCCCUAAGCGUUGUGGAAACUUUCGCUAAAGGGUGUUCGGGAGGCUACGCCGUAAAACAACCCCAUUUCUAAGGUUGACCUCGGAUCAGGUAGGGAUACCCGCUGAACUUAAGCAUAUCAAUAAGCGAGGA